rnacentral:rRNA from 1 species
AGCGAACGCUGGCGGCAGGCCUAACACAUGCAAGUCGAACGAACCUUUCGGGGUUAGUGGCGGACGGGUGAGUAACACGUGGGAACGUGCCUUUAGGUUCGGAAUAACUCAGGGAAACUUGUGCUAAUACCGAAUGUGCCCUUCGGGGGAAAGAUUAAUCGCCUUUAGAUCGGCCCGCGUCUGAUUAGCUAGUUGGUUGAGGUAAUGGCUCACCAAGGCGACGAUCAGUAGCUGGUCUGAGAGGAUGAUCAGCCACCUUGGGACUGAGACACGGCCCCAACUGCUACGGGAGGCAGCAGUGGGGAAUCAUGCGCAAUGGGCGAAAGCCUGACGAUACCAUGCCUCGUGAAUGAUGAAGGUCUUAGGAUUAUGAAAUUCUUUCACCGGGGGCGAUAAUGACGGUACCCGGAGAAGAAGCCCCGGCUAACUUCGUG